UUCCAGACUCCUACGGGAGGCAGCAGUGAGGAAUAUUGGUCAAUGGCCGAGAGGCUGAACCAGCCAAGCCGCGUGAGGGAUGAAGGUACAGAGUAUCGUAAACCUCUUUUGUCAGGGAACAAAGGCGGGGACGCGUCCCCGGAUGAGUGUACCUGAAGAAAAAGCAUCGGCUAACUCCGUGCCAGCAGCCGCGGUAAUACGGAGGAUGCGAGCGUUAUCCGGAUUUAUUGGGUUUAAAGGGUGCGCAGGCGGAGGUGCAAGUCAGUGGUCAAAUUGCGGGGCUCAACCCCGUACUGCCGUUGAAACUGCAUCCCUUGAGUGCGCGAGAAGUAUGCGGAAUGCGUGGUGUAGCGGUGAAAUGCAUAGAUAUCACGCAGAACUCCGAUUGCGAAGGCAGCAUACCGGCGCGCAACUGACGCUCAUGCACGAAAGCGUGGGUAUCGAACAGGAUUAGAUACCCUUGUACGA
rnacentral:rRNA from 1 species